rnacentral:rRNA from 1 species
AUAGUUUGAUCCUGGCUCAGAACGAACGCUGGCGGCGGGCUUAACACAUGCAAGUUGAAGGAGAAGUUCAUCUUCGGAUGGAUGGAGACUGGCGCACGGGUGAGUAACGCGUAGACAACCUGCCUAUAACAGGGGGAUAACCACCGGAAACGGUGGCUAAUACCGCAUGAUGCAGCGGGGCCGCAUGGCCACAGUUGUUAAAGCCUUCGGGCGGUUAUGGAUGGGUCUGCGUGCUAUUAGCUAGUUGGUAAGGUAACGGCUUACCAAGGCGAUGAUAGCUAGGGGGUCUGAGAGGAUGAUCCCCCACACUGGGACUGAGACACGGCCCAGACUCCUACGGGAGGCAGCAGUGAGGAAUCUUGCGCAAUGGGGGAAACCCUGACGCAGCCACGCCGCGUGCCGGAAGACGGCCCUAUGGGUUGUAAACGGCUUUUGUUUGGGAAGAAUGUACGGGUUUCGAUCUGUAUUGACGGUACCAAUUGAAUAAGCACCGGCUAACUCCGUGCCAGCAGCCGCGGUAAUACGGAGGGUGCAAGCGUUGUCCGGAAUCAUUGGGUGUAAAGGGUGCGUAGGCUGGUGUCUAAGUCUGGGGUGAAAUCUUGCCGCUUAACGGUAAAAUGGCCUUGGAUACUGGAUACCUUGAAUCCGACAGAGGUCGGUGGAAUUCGUAGUGUAGCGGUGAAAUGCAUAGAUAUUACGAAGAACAUCAGUGGCGAAGGCGGCCGGCUGGGUCAGUA